AGUGAACGCUGGCGGUAGGCCUAACACAUGCAAGUCGAACGGCAGCACAGUAAGAGCUUGCUCUUACGGGUGGCGAGUGGCGGACGGGUGAGGAAUACAUCGGAAUCUACUUUUUCGUGGGGGAUAACGUAGGGAAACUUACGCUAAUACCGCAUACGACCUACGGGUGAAAGCAGGGGAUCUUCGGACCUUGUGCGAUUGAAUGAGCCGAUGUCGGAUUAGCUAGUUGGCGGGGUAAAGGCCCACCAAGGCGACGAUCCGUAGCUGGUCUGAGAGGAUGAUCGGCCACACUGGAACUGAGACACGGUCCAGACUCCUACGGGAGGGAGCAGUGGGGAAUAUUGGACAAUGGGCGCAAGCCUGAUCCAGCCAUACCGCGUGGGUGAAGAAGGCCUUCGGGUUGCAAAGCCCUUUUGUUGGGAAAGAAAAGCAGCAGGUUAAUACCCCGCUGUUCUGACGGUACCCAAAGAAUGAGCACCGGCUAACUUCGUG
rnacentral:rRNA from 1 species